GAUCCUGGCUCGAGGACGAACGCUGGCGGCGUGCCUAACACAUGCAAGUCGAACGAAGUAUAUUUUCGAAAUAUGCUUAGUGGCGGACGGGUGAGUAACGCGUGAACAAUCUGCCCUGUACAGAGGAAUAGCCUCGGGAAACCGGGAUUAAAACCGCAUGAAACUAUAGCAUCGCAUGAUGCAUUAGUCAAAUUGAAUAAGAGGUAUAGGAUGAGUUCGCGUCUGAUUAGCUAGUUGGCGGGGUAACGGCCCACCAAGGCGACGAUCAGUAGCCGGCCUGAGAGGGUGAACGGCCACACUGGAACUGAGACACGGUCCAGACUCCUACGGGAGGCAGCAGUGGGGAAUAUUGCACAAUGGAAGGAAACUCUGAUGCAGCGACGCCGCGUGAGUGAAGAAGGUCUUCGGAUACGUAAAACUCUGUCCUUGGUGAACGAAAAAAUGACGGUAGCCAAGGAGGAACGCCCCGGCUAACUACGUGCCAGCCGCUGC
rnacentral:rRNA from 1 species